GAGUGUUUAAAGCAGGCUAACGCUUGAAUACAUUAGCAUGGAAUAAUGAAAUAGGACGUUCGAUCUUAUUUUGUUGGUUUCUAAGAUUGACGUAAUGAUUAAUAGGGAUAUUGGGGGCAUUAGUAUUCAAUUGUCAGAGGUGAAAUUCUUGGAUUUAUUGAAGACUAACUACUGCGAAAGCAUUUGCCAAGGAUGUUUUCAUUAAUCAAGAACGAAAGUUAGGGGAUCGAAGACGAUCAGAUACCGUCGUAGUCUUAACCAUAAACUAUGCCGACUAGGGAUCGGAUGAUGUUAAUUUUUAAUGACUCAUUCGGCGCCUUACGGGAAAC
rnacentral:rRNA from 2 species